UGGCGAAAUUGUGGACAUCACAGGAGCAACCACAGCCAUCACAGCAGCAGCCAUCAGUGCAGCCACCAUCACAGCCACCACCACAGCCAUCAACAUUGCCACAGGCACAGGUGUGGCCAGGGCCACAGCCACCACAACCACAGCCACCACCUCAGCCAACACAACCAAGUGCUCAAGCCCGUUGUACUCAGCACACCUCCAAAUGCAAUCUCCAGGAUUCCCAAAGGCCAGGUCACCAGCCUACUUCAGCGGGGAUCUACUAAGCUGGAGGGCAAUCUCUGUAUCAACAACAGAUUCCAGGGUGGGCAGAAAAUCCUUACAGACUCUGGACUGGAGCCUGGGAGUGGGAGGUGGUCUCAUGAACCCAUGCCAAUCUAGCCCCAUCAGAAACACUGGGUAUUCACAACUCAAGUCUACCAAUUACAUACAGCAGUGGUGAUCCAGAGAUUGAACCCAGGACCCCAUGGCCAUCCCCAAAAUGCAGAUGAGCAACCACAUCUUCUCAGCAUCCAGCAAUAUCUCCACUCCAAAAGCCACCCACUCUAGAAGAGGAGGCUGCCAGGAAUAAAAUGUAAUUUUUU
rnacentral:lncRNA from 10 species